CAAGGGAUGUGUCUAGCCCAACCUUUCUCACACCAUCUUUUUCCAAGAGCUGGGCUUCUCAGCCACUUUUCUGCUCACUAGGAGGAAAUUUUCCAGAAAGCAGCCUUCAGCAUUCUCAGUGGUCGGCCAUGCACUUCAUACUUAUCCUAUUCCUAGGGAUACAUUAUGCUCUGAGUGAGUACAAUUGCUUGAUGUUCCCUAGAUCCACCUAAGCCAUUGCUUUCUGAUUCAAAUCUUAGUAAAAGUACUUUCUAUAGUAAAGCCUUCCUGGAACUUACUGACAUAGCAUUAAUUUUGCAGGAGAUUCCAGAGCUCAGUCAGUGACCCAGCCUAACAGGCAGGUCACUAUUUCUGAAGGAAACGCUCUGGAACUGGCCUGCAACUAUUCCUAUGGUGGUUCGUUUUCUCUCUUCUGGUAUGUCCAGUACCCCAACCAAGGCCUCCAGCCUCUCCUCAAGUACAUUUCAGGAAAUACCCUGGUUCAAGGCAUCAAAGGCUUUGAGGCAGAAGCUAAGAAGAGUGAAUCUUCCUUCAACCUGAGGAAACCCUCUGUGCACUGGAGCGACUCAGCUGAGUACUUCUGUGUUCUGGUUGCCACA
rnacentral:lncRNA from 1 species